AUUGAACGCUGGCGGCAGGCCUAACACAUGCAAGUCGAACGAGUGGCGGACGGGUGAGUAAUGUCUGGGCAACUGCCUGAUGGAGGGGGAUAACUACUGGAAACGGUAGCUAAUACCGCAUACCAUCGGAUGUGCCCAGAUGGGAUUAGCUAGUAGGUGGGGUAAAGGCUCACCUAGGCGACGAUCCCUAGCGGGUCUGAGAGGCUGACCAGCCAAAAUGGAACUGAGACAAGGUCUAGACUCCUACGGGAGGCAGAAGUGGGGAAUAUGGCACAAGGGGCGCAAGCCUGAUGCAGCCAUGCCGCGUGGAUGAAGAAGGCAUUCGGGUUGUAAAGUACUUGCAGCGGGGAGGCGUUACCCGCAGAAGAAGAACCGGCUAACUCCGUGCCAGCAGCCGCGGUAAUAC
rnacentral:rRNA from 1 species